rnacentral:rRNA from 1 species
GAUGUGUCCAGUAAUGGGUGAUAACUUAGCGAAAGUUAGGCUAAUACCGCAUACGAUCUGAGGAUGAAAUCGGGGGAUGCAGCACUAAAAGAUUAUGGCAGAGUACAGUCAAAGGCAAUCCAAGAGUUUUUGGUGCUGCACCUCGCGUUAUUGGAGCGGAUGAUGUAUGAUUAGCUAGUUGGUGAGGUAAUGGCUUACCAAGGUGACGACUCAUUAGAUGGUUUGAGAGGACGGCCAGCCACAUUGGGACUGAGAUCACGGCCCAGAGUCCUACGGGAGGCAUCAGUGGGGAAUUUUGGACAAUGGGGGCAACCGUGAUCCAGCCAUGUCGCGUGAGUGAAGAAGGCAUUCGGGUUGUAAAGCUUUUUCGUCCGGAACGAAACAGUGGAUGUUAACACCCUCCGUUAAUGACGGUACCGGAAGAAGAAGCACCGGCUAACUACGUGCCAG